AGGGGUAUAGCUCAGUGGUAAAGCACAUGCUUAGCAUGUACCAGGUCCGGGGUUCAAUUCCCAGUACAUCCA
rnacentral:tRNA from 1 species